CAAAACAUUGGAAUUAUAGGCAGAAGCUGCCAUGCCUGGCCCAAGAUAAGUAUUAUUACCCUUAUUUUCCAGAAGAGAAAAAAGAAUUUAAAAGAAUAUAAAUGACUUUUCCAGCCUCCCACAGAUAGGAAGUGCUACAACAGUUUUGAUGAGCUUCAGAGCCAAUGCUAUUUCUGAUACAUUUACUUUUUUUCAUGUUGUU
rnacentral:lncRNA from 1 species